rnacentral:tRNA from 1 species
AAGGAAGAACAGAAACUAGUAAGUACUGCUAAUCCUUACGCUCCGCGGUUAAAAUCCGCGGCUUCCUUG